rnacentral:rRNA from 1 species
GACGAGGGACCCUAGCGUUGUUCGGAAUCAUUGGGCGUAAAGCGGGUGCAGGUGGCUUUGUAAGUCAGAUGUGAAAGCCCUGGCUUAACCCAGGAAGUGCUUGAUACUGCGAGCUUGAGUGCUGGAGAGGUUACUGGAAUACCUGGUGUAGUGGUGAAAUACGUAGAUAUCAGGUGGAACACCAGUGGCGAAGGCGAGUCUCGUGGACAUUCCUGACACUGAGGCACGAAGGCCAGGGAGCAAACGGG